rnacentral:rRNA from 1 species
UAGUCCACGCUGUAAACGAUGAGAACUAGCUGUUGGGUAUUAAUAUUUAGUGGCGCAGUUAACGCGAUAAGUUCUCCGCCUGGGGAGUACGGCCGCAAGGUUAAAACUCAAAUGAAUUGACGGGGGCCCGCACAAGCGGUGGAGCAUGUGGUUUAAUUCGAUGCAACGCGAAGAACCUUACCUACCCUUGACAUCCUGCGAAUCCUGUAGAGAUACGGGAGUGCCUUCGGGAAUGCAGAGACAGGUGCUGCAUGGCUGUCGUCAGCUCGUGUUGUGAAAUGUUGGGUUAAGUCCGGCAACGAGCGCAACCCACAUCCUUAGUUGCCAGCAGGUUAAGCUGGGCACUCUAGGGAAACUGCCCGUGAUAAGCGGGAGGAAGGUGUGGAUGACGUCAAGUCCUCAUGGCCCUUACGGGUUGGGCUACACACGUGCUACAAUGGCAGUGACAAUGGGUUAAUCCCCAAAAACUGUCUCAGUUCGGAUUGGGGUCUGCAACUCGACCCCAUG